GUUUGGUGCAGGUGCCUGUGGCCUUUGGGGGUUUCCUCGCGUCUUUUAGGUAGAUGCUUCCAGGGAUUCUCCGAGGCCUCUUCCUACUCCAGUAACUGCAGGUUUCUGGGGAAGCCGUGGCCAGCUCUAAUCCCCUACUUUUUUUUUUUUUUUUUUUUUGAGACAGUUUCGCUCUGUCGCCCAGGCUGGAGUGCAGUGGCGCCAUCUCGCCUCACUGCAACCUCCGCCUCCAGGGUUCAAGCGAUUCUCCUGCCUCAGCGUCUCUAGUAGCUCCUUACAGGGAGAGCAAUGGCCCACUCACACCCGAAACAGAGAAGCGAGGAUUUUUUUUUUUUCCUGCAAGCUGCUGCGCAUUAAUUAAGUCAAAGUGCAGAAGAAAUCUUUUCUACCCCGGCUUUCCAACUUUCCGGGGGUCAUUAGGGAAAAACAUUCGUUGAACAGAUGUCCUUAGGGUCGGCGCUUUUAUCUCUGAAAGGAAGAACACUUGGAAAGGAAGCUGCGUGUUUUUCCUCUUGCCCGGAAGAGCCAGCCUGUAUGUCUCCCUUUUGACCCGAGGCCAAGCGCCUGAAGCCUCUUGGACUUAGUUAACAUUAGUCCGUUUUCUAUGCGUUUGUCCUUGGCUUGGUUUAUGGUGUUUGUUGAAAGAGAUGGGGUCUCUUCUGUUUUCCCAUGAUGGUCUCCAACUGCUGGUCUCAAGUGAUCCUUCUGCCUCAGCCUCCCAAAGUGCUGGUAUGACAGGUGUGAGCCACUGUACCCAGCCUAAUUUAUGCUGUUUGAAGGUAAUUUAAAAAAAUCUGCUUGUAAGAUUUUGUUGUCUUAGUAAUCUUGCAGUUUCACUAUGUUGUAUUUAGCUGUGGAUAUCUUUUUAUUUACCAUAAUUAGGAUUUGUUGAGCUUAACUUUGUAUAUUGGUGCUUUUCAUGAUUUCUUGAAAAACUUUUAGCCAUAACUCUUCCAAGAUUGCUUCUGUUCCAUAAAAAAUUCUUUUCUCCUUCUGAAAUAGAUCAGACAUAUGUGGGAUCUUAUCUUUCAUGUCUUAACGUCCCUUUGAUAUUUUUCACCUCUUUGUGUCUCUGUGUUGUAUUCCAAAUUUCUUCAGAUCUCACUUCUGCUUCACUAAUACUCUCUUCAGCUGUGUAAUCUGUUGUAAAACUAUUCACUGAAUUAUUUUUAGUGAUUUUAAAACAUUUUCUUGAAAUUUGUUUAGUAUUUUUGAAUAUUUACUCUUCA
rnacentral:lncRNA from 10 species